AGAGUUUGAUCCUGGCUCAGGACGAACGCUAGCGGCGUGUUUGAAACAUGCAAGUCGAACGGAGCAUCUACGGGUGCUGAGUGGCGAACGGGUGCGUAACACGUAAAGAACCUGUCCUAAUGUGGGGGAUAGCCCUGGGAAACUGGGGGUAAGACCGCAUACGCCAGAGUGAGCGCAUGCUCAUUGUGGGAAAGGCUCCGGGUGAGACCGGAGACGCAUAAGGAGGGCUUUGCGGCCUAUCAGGUAGUUGGUGGGGUAACGGCCUACCAAGCCGAAGACGGGUAGCUGGUCUGAGAGGACGAUCAGCCACACUGGGACUGAGAUACGGCCCAGACUCCUACGGGGGGCAGCAGUUUAGAAUAUUGUGCAAUGGGCGAAAGCCUGACACAGCGACGCCGCGUGGGUGACGAAGGCCUUCGGGUCGUAAAGCCCUGUUGGUAGGGAGGAGCAAGGACAGUACCUACCGAGGAAGCCCCGGCUAACUACGUGCCAGCAGCUGCGGUAAUACGUAGGGGGCGAGCGUUGUCCGAAGUUACUGGGCGUAAAGAGUGCGUAGGCGGCUCUACAAGUUGCAUCUAAAAGGCGUCAGCUCAACUGACGAGUGCGGUGCAAGACUGUAAGGCUUGAGGCAAACAGAAGAAUGUGGAACUCCGAGUGUAGCGGUGGAAUGCGUAGAGAUUCGGAAGAACACCCAUGGCGAAGGCAGCAUUCUGGGUUUGACCUGACGCUGAGGCACGAAAGCCAGGGGAGCGAACGGGAUUAGAUACCCCGGUAGUCC
rnacentral:rRNA from 1 species